rnacentral:rRNA from 1 species
GAUGAACGCUAGCGGCAGGCUUAACACAUGCAAGUCGAGGGGCAGCAAGGGUAGCAAUAUCUGUUGGCGACCGGCAAACGGGUGCGGAACACGUACGCAAUCUACCUUUAUCUGGGGCAUAGCCCGAAGAAAUUCGGAUUAACACCCCAUAAAAUAACAGAGUGGCAUCACUUAAUCAUUAAAUCUCCGGAGGAUAAAGAUGAGCGUGCGUCCCAUUAGCUAGUUGGUAGGGUAACGGCCUACCAAGGCGACGAUGGGUAGCUGGUGUGAGAGGACGACCAGCCACACGGGCACUGAGACACGGGCCCGACUCCUCCGGGAGGCAGCAGUGAGGAAUAUUGGUCAAUGGACGCAAGUCUGAACCAGCCAUGCCGCGUGGAGGAUGAAGGCCUUCUGGGUUGUAAACUUCUUUUAUUGGGGAAGAAAAGCACGGUUUCUACUGUGUCCGACGGUACCCAAGGAAUAAGCACCGGCUAACUCCGUGCCAGCCGCCGCUGUAAUAC